UGUGAACGUUACCAAACUGUUGCCUCGGCGGGAUCUCUGCCCCGGGUGCGUCGCAGCCCCGGACCAAGGCGCCCGCCGGAGGACCAACCAAAACUCUUUUUGUAUACCCCCUCGCGGGUUUUUUAUAAUCUGAGCCUUCUCGGCGCCUCUCGUAGGCGUUUCGAAAAUGAAUCAAAACUUUCAACAACGGAUCUCUUGGUUCUGGCAUCGAUGAAGAACGCAGCGAAAUGCGAUAAGUAAUGUGAAUUGCAGAAUUCAGUGAAUCAUCGAAUCUUUGAACGCACAUUGCGCCCGCCAGUAUUCUGGCGGGCAUGCCUGUCCGAGCGUCAUUUCAACCCUCGAACCCCUCCGGGGGGUCGGCGUUGGGGAUCGGCCCUGCCUCUUGGCGGCGGCCGUCUCCGAAAUACAGUGGCGGUCUCGCCGCAGCCUCUCCUGCGCAGUAGUUUGCACACUCGCAUCGGGAGCGCGGCGCGUCCACAGCCGUUAAACACCCAACUUCUGAAAUGUUGACCUCGGAUCAGGUAGGAAUACCCGCUGAACUUAAGCAUAUCAAUAAGCGGAGGAA
rnacentral:rRNA from 1 species